rnacentral:rRNA from 1 species
GGCUCAGGAUGAACGCUGGCGGUCUGCUUAACACAUGCAAGUCGAACGGGCUCUUCGGAGCUAGUGGCGGACGGGUGAGUAACGCGUGAGAAUCUGCCCUUAGGACGGGGACAACAGCUGGAAACGGCUGCUAAUACCCGAUAUGCCGAGAGGUGAAAUCUAAUUGGCCUGAGGAUGAGCUCGCGUCUGAUUAGCUAGUUGGUGAGGUAAAGGCUCACCAAGGCGACGAUCAGUAGCUGGUCUGAGAGGAUGAUCAGCCACACUGGGACUGAGACACGGCCCAGACUCCUACGGGAGGCAGCAGUGGGGAAUUUUCCGCAAUGGGCGCAAGCCUGACGGAGCAAGACCGCGUGCGGGAGGACGGCCUAUUGGUUGUAAACCGCUUUUGAUAGGGAAGAAGCUCUGACGGUACCUAUCGAAUCAGCAUCGGCUAACUCCGUGCCAGCAGCCGCGGUAAUACGGAGGAUGCAAGCGUUAUCCGGAAUUAUUGGGCGUAAAGCGUCCGUAGGUGGUUGAACAAGUCUGCUGUUAAAGCGUGCGGCUUAACCGCAUAUCAGCAGUGGAAACUGUUCGACUAGAGUGCGGUAGGGGUCAGGGGAAUUCCCAGUGUAGCGGUGAAAUGCGUAGAUAUUGGGAAGAACACCGGUGGCGAAAGCGCCUGACUGGGCCUGCACUGACACUGAGGGACGAAAGCUAGGGGAGCGAAAGGGAUUAGAUACCCCUGUAGUCCUAGCCGUAAACGAUGGACACUAGGUGUUGCCCGUAUCGACCCGGGCAGUGCCGUAGCCAACGCGUUAAGUGUCCCGCCUGGGGAGUACGCUCGCAAGAGUGAAACU